UACGGGGGGGUCAAGCGUUGUUCGGAAUUACUGGGCGUAAAGGGCGCGUAGGCGGUGUGUCAAGUCAGGCGUGAAAGCCCCGGGCUCAACCUGGGAACAGCGCUUGAGACUGGCACGCUCGAGUUCGGGAGAGGAUGGUGGAAUUCCCAGUGUAGAGGUGAAAUUCGUAGAUAUUGGGAAGAACACCGAUGGCGAAGGCAGCCAUCUGGACCGACACUGACGCUGAGGCGCGAAAGCGUGGGGAGCAAACAGG
rnacentral:rRNA from 1 species